rnacentral:rRNA from 1 species
CGCGAAUCGCCCUUGGUGCGCAGGCGCGAAAACUCCACAAUGUACGGAAGUACGAUGGGGUUAUCUCGAGUGCAGUCCGAUAAGGGCUGCUUUUCCAUAGAGUAAUAUCCUGUGGGAAUAAGAGGGGGGCAAGACUGGUGUCAGCCGCCGCGGUAACACCAGCCCCUCGAGUGGUGGGGACUAUUAUUUGGCCUAAAGCGUCCGUAGCUGGCUGUAUCCGUCCCCCGUUAAAUCCAGCGUCCUAAGCGUUGGACUGCGGGUGAUACCAUACAGCUAGAGGGUGGGAUAGGUGAGCGGUAUUUCUGGGGUAGGGGCGAAAUCCUUUGAUCCCAGGAGGACCACCAGUGGCGAAGGCUGCUCACUAGAACACGCCUGACGGUCAGGGACGAAAGCUGGGGCAGCGAACCGGAUUAGAUACCCGGGUAGUCCCAGCUGUAAACGAUGCUGCUAGGGUGUUGGGUCGGCCACGUGCCGCCCCAGUGCCGCAGGGAAGCCGUUAAGCUAGCCGCCUGGGGAGUACGGCCGCAAGGCUGAAACUUAAAGGAAUUGGCGGGGGAGCAC